AGUGAACGCUGGCGGUAGGCCUAACACAUGCAAGUCGAACGGCCGCACAGUAAGAGCUCGCUCUUACGGGUGGCGAGUGGCGGACGGGUGAGGCAUACAUCGCCAUCUACUUUUUCGUGGGGGACUACGGGGGGCCACUGCCGCUAAUACCUCAUACGUCCUACCGCUGAAAGCAGGAGUUCUUCGCACUUUUCGCGUUUGAUUUAGCCGGUGUCGGAUUAGCUAGUUGGCGGGGUAAGGGCCCACCAAGGCAACGAUCCGUAGCUGGUCUGAGAGGAUGAUCGGCCACACUGGAACUGAGACACGGUCCAGACUCCUACGGGAGGCAGCAGUAGGGAAUAUUGGGCAAUGGGCGCAAGCCUGAUGGAGCCACGCCGCGUGAGUGAUGAAGGUCUUCGGGUUGUAAAACUCUUUUAUUAGGGAAGAAAAGCUGUAUGAGUAACCCUGGAUGUUCUGACGGUACCUAAUGAGAAAGCAACGGCUAACUUCGUG
rnacentral:rRNA from 1 species